GCCCUGGUGGUGUAGUGGUAGCAUGAGUUCACGGUAUGGAUGAGACAUAGGUUCAACUCCCGUCUGAGGCC